rnacentral:rRNA from 1 species
UUAAGCGACUAAGCGUACACGGUGGAUGCCCUGGCAGUCAGAGGCGAUGAAGGACGUGCUAAUCUGCGAUAAGCGUCGGUAAGGUGAUAUGAACCGUUAUAACCGGCGAUUUCCGAAUGGGGAAACCCAGUGUGAUUCGUCACACUAUCAUUAACUGAAUCCAUAGGUUAAUGAGGCGAACCGGGGGAACUGAAACAUCUAAGUACCCCGAGGAAAAGAAAUCAACCGAGAUUCCCCCAGUAGCGGCGAGCGAGCGGGGAGCAGCCCAGAGCCUGAAUCAGUGUGUGUGUUAGUGGAAGCGUCUGGAAAGGCGUGCGAUACAGGGUGACAGCCCCGUAACACAAAAAUGCACAUACUGUGAGCUCGAUGAGUAGGGCGGGACACGUGGUAUCCUGUCUGAAUAUGGGGGGACCAUCCUCCAAGGCUAAAUACUCCUGACUGACCGAUAGUGAACCAGUACCGUGAGGGAAAGGCGAAAAGAACCCCGGCGAGGGGAGUGAAAAAGAACCUGAAACCGUGUACGUACAAGCAGUGGAGCACGCUUAGGCGUGUGACUGCGUACCUUUUGUAUAAUGGGUCAGCGACUUAUAUUCUGUAGCAAGGUUAACCGAAUAGGGGAGCCGAAGGGAAACCGAGUCUUAACUGGGCGUUAAGUUGCAGGGUAUAGACCCGAAACCCGGUGAUCUAGCCAUGGGCAGGUUGAAGGUUGGGUAACACUAACUGGAGGACCGAACCGACUAAUGUUGAAAAAUUAGCGGAUGACUUGUGGCUGGGGGUGAAAGGCCAAUCAAACCGGGAGAUAGCUGGUUCUCCCCGAAAGCUAUUUAGGUAGCGCCUCGUGAAUUCAUCUCCGGGGGUAGAGCACUGUUUCGGCAAGGGGGUCAUCCCGACUUACCAACCCGAUGCAAACUGCGAAUACCGGAGAAUGUUAUCACGGGAGACACACGGCGGGUGCUAACGUCCGUCGUGAAGAGGGAAACAACCCAGACCGCCAGCUAAGGUCCCAAAGUCAUGGUUAAGUGGGAAACGAUGUGGGAAGGCCCAGACAGCCAGGAUGUUGGCUUAGAAGCAGCCAUCAUUUAAAGAAAGCGUAAUAGCUCACUGGUCGAGUCGGCCUGCGCGGAAGAUGUAACGGGGCUAAACCAUGCACCGAAGCUGCGGCAGCGACGCUUAUGCGUUGUUGUGUAGGGGAGCGUUCUGUAAGCCUGUGAAGGUGUGCUGUGAGGUAUGCUGGAGGUAUCAGAAGUGCGAAUGCUGACAUAAGUAACGAUAAAGCGGGUGAAAAGCCCGCUCGCCGGAAGACCAAGGGUUCCUGUCCAACGUUAAUCGGGGCAGGGUGAGUCGACCCCUAAGGCGAGGCCGAAAGGCGUAGUCGAUGGGAAACAGGUUAAUAUUCCUGUACUUGGUGUUACUGCGAAGGGGGGACGGAGAAGGCUAUGUUGGCCGGGCGACGGUUGUCCCGGUUUAAGCGUGUAGGCUGGUUUUCCAGGCAAAUCCGGAAAAUCAAGGCCGAGGCGUGAUGACGAGGCACUACGGUGCUGAAGCAACAAAUGCCCUGCUUCCAGGAAAAGCCUCUAAGCAUCAGGUAACAUCAAAUCGUACCCCAAACCGACACAGGUGGUCAGGUAGAGAAUACCAAGGCGCUUGAGAGAACUCGGGUGAAGGAACUAGGCAAAAUGGUGCCGUAACUUCGGGAGAAGGCACGCUGAUACGUAGGUGAAGCGACUUGCUCGUGGAGCUGAAAUCAGUCGAAGAUACCAGCUGGCUGCAACUGUUUAUUAAAAACACAGCACUGUGCAAACACGAAAGUGGACGUAUACGGUGUGACGCCUGCCCGGUGCCGGAAGGUUAAUUGAUGGGGUUAGCGCAAGCGAAGCUCUUGAUCGAAGCCCCGGUAAACGGCGGCCGUAACUAUAACGGUCCUAAGGUAGCGAAAUUCCUUGUCGGGUAAGUUCCGACCUGCACGAAUGGCGUAAUGAUGGCCAGGCUGUCUCCACUCGAGACUCAGUGAAAUUGAACUCGCUGUGAAGAUGCAGUGUACCCGCGGCAAGACGGAAAGACCCCGUGAACCUUUACUAUAGCUUGACACUGAACAUUGAGCCUUGAUGUGUAGGAUAGGUGGGAGGCUUUGAAGUGUGGACGCCAGUCUGCAUGGAGCCGACCUUGAAAUACCACCCUUUAAUGUUUGAUGUUCUAACGUGGACCCGUGAUCCGGGUUGCGGACAGUGUCUGGUGGGUAGUUUGACUGGGGCGGUCUCCUCCUAAAGAGUAACGGAGGAGCACGAAGGUUGGCUAAUCCUGGUCGGACAUCAGGAGGUUAGUGCAAUGGCAUAAGCCAGCUUGACUGCGAGCGUGACGGCGCGAGCAGGUGCGAAAGCAGGUCAUAGUGAUCCGGUGGUUCUGAAUGGAAGGGCCAUCGCUCAACGGAUAAAAGGUACUCCGGGGAUAACAGGCUGAUACCGCCCAAGAGUUCAUAUCGACGGCGGUGUUUGGCACCUCGAUGUCGGCUCAUCACAUCCUGGGGCUGAAGUAGGUCCCAAGGGUAUGGCUGUUCGCCAUUUAAAGUGGUACGCGAGCUGGGUUUAGAACGUCGUGAGACAGUUCGGUCCCUAUCUGCCGUGGGCGCUGGAGAACUGAGGGGGGCUGCUCCUAGUACGAGAGGACCGGAGUGGACGCAUCACUGGUGUUCGGGUUGUCAUGCCAAUGGCACUGCCCGGUAGCUAAAUGCGGAAGAGAUAAGUGCUGAAAGCAUCUAAGCACGAAACUUGCCCCGAGAUGAGUUCUCCCUGACCCUUUAAGGGUCCUGAAGGAACGUUGAAGACGACGACGUUGAUAGGCCGGGUGUGUAAGCGCAGCGAUGCGUUGAGCUAACCGGUACUAAUGAACCGUGAGGCUUAACCUU